AGCAGCCGCGGUAAUUCCAGCUCCAAUAGCGUAUAUUAAAGUUGUUGCAGUUAAAAAGCUCGUAGUUGAAUUUCGGGAUCAAUACGUCGGUCGUACCUCGGUACGUACUGACGUCAUUGAUUUCUCCCUUCUGACGAACCAUGAUGCCAUUAACUUGGUGUUAUGGGAAAUCAGGACUGUUACUUUGAAAAAAUUAGAGUGUUUAAAGCAGGCUCACGCUUGAAUACAUUAGCAUGGAAUAAUGAAAUAGGACGUUCGAUCCUAUUUUGUUGGUUUUUAGGAUCAACGUAAUGAUUAAUAGGGAUAGUUGGGGGCAUUAGUAUUCAAUUGUCAGAGGUGAAAUUCUUGGAUUUAUUGAAGACUAACUACUGCGAAAGCAUUUGCCAAGGAUGUUUUCAUUAAUCAAGAACGAAAGUUAGGGGAUCGAAGACGAUCAGAUACCGUCGUAGUCUUAACCAUAAACUAUGCCGACUAGGGAUCGGAUGAUGUUAAUUAUUUAAUGACUCAUUCGGCGCCUUACG
rnacentral:rRNA from 1 species